GACGAACGCUGGCGGCGUGCCUAAUACAUGCAAGUCGAGCGAUGAAGUUUGGUGCUUGCACCAAUUUGAAGAGCAGCGAACGGGUGAGUAACGCGUGGGGAACCUGCCUUUGAGCGUGGGACAACAUCUGGAAACGAAUGCUAAUACCGCAUAACAACUUUAAACAUAAGGUUCAAGUGUGAAAGAUGCAAUUGCAUCACCCAAAGAUGAUCCCGCGUUGUAUUAGGCAGGUGGUGAGGUAAAGGCCUACCAAGGCGAUGAUACAGAGCCGACCUGAGGGGGUGGUCCGCCACCUUGGGACUGGGACAACGCCCAAGCCCCUACGGGGGGCAGCAGUAGGGGAUCUUCGGGCAUGGGGGGAAGUCUUACCGGGCAACGGCGGGGUGAUGGAGGAGGUUUUCGGGUCGGAAAACUCUGGUGGUAGGGGAAGAAGUUGGUGGGAGUGGAAAGCGCAUGAAGUGACGGUAACUACCCAGAAAGGGACGGCUAACUACGUG
rnacentral:rRNA from 1 species